ACAAACCAUCUGUGUGAUUUUGUUCUCAAAUGCAAUAGAAAUAUUGAUAAAGUCACAUGGCCGAAAAUAUAAUUUGUAGUAAGUAUAUAUAUUCGUUAUCACAGACUGUCUUUAGAAAGUUUCCACAAGUGGAGCCGCUGGCGUCGAGUCGGAGCAACAGGAUGUGGCCUCUCGUCUUUCUGCUCUGCUUCAUUCAAGGUUUUGGUGUUCAAGCGGUCCAAUGGAAGAUUAUAACAUAUACAUCGGUCAUUGUAGAGGUGGAAACAGACUCCGAUAUCUAUAUUACUCUCCAUGGAACUCGCGUAUCUUCCGCAGACAUGAAAUUAGACAACAACUUUGAGAGAGAUAUGCUUAAUACAUUCUUUGUUACAACCGACGACAUUGGUGAUGUGUGCUCAGUGUCCAUCAGGUCUAAUGGUAGUCAAGCUGCUCCUGACUGGAAUUUCAAUUUGGUAAACCGAACUGGGUGCACACUUUGAGUCCGGCACUGACCAACCAGCAUAAAGUUUAUUCACCUGAUGGAACACCUUGCUCAUCGGCUAAAUGGAAUUCUAAGAAAUAUCUGUCAACGUCUACUGUCACCUUUGCACACAACCCUGCUAAUGUUUUGCUUACACUUGAAAAUCUGUAGAAUAUUACAACAAAAGUAACCCAAAUUAUGACAGUGCAUCGCACAUCCCUUAAGGCACUGGAAUGUGGCGACAAGAGCAUAAUUAAUAUGAGUCAAUAAUUGUAAGGUCUUUUACCCCACAAGCAAUUCUAAAGCAAACAAUUGUACAAAAAGAAAAAGAAUGGAAAAUAAUGUCUAAUUUUUCGAAAAAAACGUGUUCUAUGAUUUUGAAGUUUAUCGUUGUCAAUGGCAUCGAAAAUGCAAGGUGAAAAUAAAAAAGUUGAAGCGCAA